UACGGGGGGGGCAAGCGUUGUUCGGAAUUACUGGGCGUAAAGGGCGCGUAGGCGGCCUGCUAAGUCGGACGUGAAAUCCCUCGGCUCAACCGAGGAACUGCGUCCGAUACUGGUGGGCUUGAAUCCGGGAGAGGGAUGUGGAAUUCCAGGUGUAGCGGUGAAAUGCGUAGAUAUCUGGAGGAACACCGGUGGCGAAGGCGGCAUCCUGGACCGGUAUUGACGCUGAGGCGCGAAAGCUAGGGGAGCAAACAGG
rnacentral:rRNA from 1 species